ACUUUUAAAGGAUAGUAGUAAUCCGUUGGUCUUAGG
rnacentral:tRNA from 1 species